AGCAGGAGUUUAACGGUAAAAUAUUACCGCCUUUUUUUAAAUUUUAGUUUUCUUUAUACUGUAACUAUCUUUCGCUAUUCCUACGGCAAAACCAUUUUCGCCUCUCUUUCCACUAUAGAAGUGGAUAUUCCUAUAUCAACUUUAGCCAAUCUAAAAAUCAUUUUCGUUACAAAAAAAAAAAAAAACAAUUUUCGUCUCUCUUUCCACUUUAGCCAAUCUUACCCCUUUUCAAUUUCUUUUUUACUUUUUCUUUUAAAUAAUUGUGUUGUUUGGUCAAUGAUAAAAAAUUUAUUAUAUAUAAAAAUUAAAUAUAAGAGAUAGAUGAUAAAAUUAUUCAUAAAUAUUUUCAUCCUCAUUUUUUCAUUUGUCAAUUGUACUAAAUAAAGGCGAGACACCAAACUAUGGAAAAAUAAGAAGAAAACAUAAUCCUUUUAUUGGUAAAAAAAAUACAAGAAGAAAAAUACUUAUCCCUUUUCAAUUUCUUUUUUGAGUUUCUUUUUUACUUUUUUUUUUAAAAUAAUUGUGUUGUUUGAUCAAUAAU
rnacentral:lncRNA from 1 species